rnacentral:rRNA from 1 species
UAGGCAGCAGUGGGGAAUCUUGCGCAAUGGGCGAAAGCCUGACGCAGCCAUGCCGCGUGAGUGAAGAAGGCCUUAGGGUUGUAAAGCUCUUUCGCUCGUGAAGAUAAUGACGGUAGCGAGACAAGAAGCUCCGGCCAACUCCGUGCCAGCAGCCGCGGUAAGACGGAGGGGGCAAGCGUUGUUCGGAAUUACUGGGCGUAAAGCGCGCGUAGGCGGGUUGAACAGUUGGGGGUGAAAGCCCGAAGCUCAACUUCGGAACUGCCCUCAAUACUUUCAGCCUAGAGUGCGAAAAGGGUGAGCGGAAUUUCCAAUGUAGAGGUGGAAUUCGUAGAUAUUGGAAAGAACACCAAAAGCGAAGGCAGCUCACUGGGUCGCCACUGACGCUGAGGCGCGAAAGUGUGGGGAGCGAACAGGAUUAGAUACCCUGGUAGUCCACACUGUAAACGAUGUCUACUAGCCGUUGGGGAUUAGUUUCCUUAGUGGCGCAGCUAACGCGAUAAGUUGUCCGCCUGGGGAGUACGGCCGCAAGGCUAAAACUCAAAGGAAUUGACGGGGA